GUAGGGGGCAAGCGUUGUCCGGAUUUAUUGGGCGUAAAGCGCGUGUAGGCGGCUAGGUAGGUCCGCUGUGAAAACUCGAGGCUCAACCUCGAGACGUCGGUGGAAACCAUCUAGCUAGAGUCCGGAAGAGGAGAGUGGAAUUCCCGGUGUAGCGGUGAAAUGCGCAGAUAUCGGGAGGAACACCCGUGGCGAAGGCGGCUCUCUGGGACGGUACUGACGCUGAGACGCGAAAGCGUGGGGAGCGAACAGGAUUAGAUACCCUGGUAGUCCACGCUGUAAACGAUGGAUGCUAGGUGUGGGCGGUGUCGACUCCGUCCGUGCCGAAGCUAACGCAUUAAGCAUCCCGCCUGGGGAGUACGGCCGCAAGGCUAAA
rnacentral:rRNA from 1 species